rnacentral:lncRNA from 1 species
CCCUGUUUCCCCUCAAAAUUAUGCUGUCUGCAGCCGACAUAAUAUUUCUGGCUGAAACAAACACUCCUUCAAUCACUCCCUCCACUCUGAGAGGAGUUAAAACUAAUCAAUCACUGACUUUCGCGAUAAAUCACGCCUCUCGCGUCUUGCCUUCCUCAGGUUUGCCAAACUUAGGGUUCCUAGGUCCCAACGACCUAAUGCUAAGCUCUGAUACCAACUUAAUCUGUCAUGUCCCGGAUUACUCGUUUUUCCGGGCACACUAACAGACCCGCCGUAUAUAUAGAAAUUUUUUCUGUAUACCAAGCGAUAGCUGUACCUGUACCUGAAAUCAUACAAUACUACAACCAGUAGUAUAGAGCCGCUAAAAAGAAAUACAGAUAAAAAAAUAACAUCGGUUCAACAUACAUACAUAGUAUCCUAGUACAAAAACACUCGCUUCGGCGAGGUACUAACAUCAGUA